UUUUUGGAGUUAGGCCCCCUUCGCCGGCCCCCCUUCGUGGGAGGAACCUGCCGGAGCGUGGCUGAGGCUGCCAGUCAACAGGUUGAGGUUAGAGAAGGACACUGCCUGUGAAAAGGUCCUUGGUUGCCAAAUCCAGGGCUGUGUCCAGACAGCUACAGAGCAACAGGACCACUCUGUGGAGAGAGGGCUCUCUAAAAGUUAAGCACGGGACAGAGAGGAAAAAACAAGACACACAAAAGGAGAGAAGCUGAGCGAAGGCAAUGCCUCAGCGUGACGGCUGAGCCGAUCGGAAGCCCAGCUUGCCAAAGGAGAUCGUACUGCUGUAGCCAGCAAUUGAGGGCUCCGAGAUACCCGGUUUUAACUGCACGAGCCACACAAGGAGAGCUUUGUUCGCGGGGAGAUGCGGGGACAGCCCCUGGUUUUAUGAGGCUUUGGGAACCCUGUAAAAGUCUGCAUGGGUUUAUUAAGCUGGCAAAUUACUUGAACAAGAAGAAUACGGCUCGUGCCAACGCCAGGCCAUGUGUCAAAAGGGCACCGAGCCAGGCUGAUCCGGGGGAGACAGGACGAAGCCCUGCCACUUGGAGACGGGGACGCCCAUGACGAGUGGGCACACGUGCGCCGAGGGAGGCGAGGAGGCGCGGAUGGAAUGCAGGAGGCCCACCCCGCACAGGCUCUCAUGGGGCAAUUUAAUUCACUCCCUGCUGACUCUCUCACUUUGUUGUGCUCUGAAGCACGAAAUUACAAGAUUUACAGGAAAAAAUGACAUGGCCUUCCAAUCUCACACAGGGUCCUCCCCAUGACAGCCCUGUAGCUCGCCCAGAGAAGCAACCCCCUUCUCUCCUCCCUCC